rnacentral:misc_RNA from 1 species
CUGCACCAACUUAACUUGUUAAGUAGAACACAAAAGAGUGAAAUAAGUUUAGGCAACCAUAAAUUUUUACAGAUUGAAUGAGGCUAUUUCCACCAAAUACAAGAAUGUUUGGGGACCAAAAAGUCCAUAAACCAUAAUAAAGUAGUUGGAAGUAUUAAACAAUACUCCAAAAUAUUUCAAAAAUUUAAAACAUCGGAGAAAAUGGCAGUUCGAGCGUAGUUUUCACUUCAGUCAUCCCUCUAGUAGGAGCAAAAGCACCAUCCCUGCAUUCCCCUAAUACCCAAUGCUCCCUCUCUUACACACACACACAUACAACUACUAAUCCUCGUUCUAAUUAGGGAAGAAUGUCACCUUUACAUUCAGUUAAAUUCCUAUUGAAAAUAAUAGCUGGAAUAAGCCACCUCAAAGUGAGAAACUGGAAACUUGAUUUUAAAUAAGCCAUCACCCAAGAAUGAUAAAGGGCACUAGUUGUUACGGUCCCAUCCCAUUAAAUGACCAAGUUAAAAGGAUAUCUCACUAGAAUUCAAACCAGAAAUCAUUUUCUUUGCGCAUAUUGCCCCCAGCAAAACCAACAGGAGCAUGAUCAAAUAUAAAGAUCCAAACCCAGAUCUAAAUCAAACCCAAGAACAUCUAUGCAUUGAUGAGGAAAAAGAGACUUAC